rnacentral:SRP_RNA from 1 species
UGCCAGGAACCAUGCGGGGGGUCUCCGCCCAAACCCGUCAGGUCCGGAAGGAAGCAGCGGCAAGCGAUAGAACCCGGCGCCGUGGCCCUCUUGGUGGGG